UGAUGCAAGUUUGCCACUCAUGGGAUAAGAAAUGCAAAGCAAAUGCUUCGCUUACUCAGUUAUGGCUCCUCAAAAAUAAUGGUGGUGGGGUGAAGAGAGGCAGCUGCAGAGUGGAGCGGAGAAGAUGUGACUGGGUCAAAAAGGGGACUCUGUAGAAGGAAAGCAGAGCUGCAAAGAGACACUGAAAGAAGACAUCCUAUGAAAUGGUUCACUUGUAUCAUAGCCACAAAUGCCAUUGCCGUAUUGUCAGCAUUCAGUGGCCACAACAAUCCAGCCUCCAGAAUCCCAAUUUUCAGUUAUAGUCUGGUGAUGCGAGUAAUACAGAGCUUGCUGAGAUGCAGCCCCGGCAGACCAGGAACAGAGAGGAGUCCUUCUGCCCAGCUUGCAAAACCACAGUUGAUCGAUCGUCUGCAGAAUUAUUUCCAGCUUCACAGAUUAGCCUCUGGUUCAUCUACCCAAGCUUUCAUGCUAUGUCCAAACGGGACCAAGGGAUAUGGAAAUUUGCACAGCAGAUGAGAUCGGAUGUAAAUGAGAUCUGAGCCAAUUUUCACUGUGUUCUUCAUCGGGAGAUGCACAAUACGAAGUGAUUUAUUGCUGGAAUACAACUCUGACAACCACAAACCUGUCAAUCUGGACAGAAACAGGAAUGUUUUGAGAACACCAAAAGGGAAACAGCCCCAUCUGAGUGAGUAAACAAGUGCUGAAAACGGACCCCAAGAACAGUAGACUCCUAGACCAAGUAUGGUGAAAGUCCGUGAAGGGGAACCAAAGUUGCUGAUAUCAGAUUGGGGACACAGGACACGAUAUGACUGGUUUUGAUAUGAAAUAUGAAUCACAGGCCGGGAGGAAGGUAUAAAGAGGGGCACACCCUCACACGAGGGGAGGGGAGGCAUGGUCUCACUCUUGGGAGGGGUAGCAUGUAGCCCUUAACGUGUGUCUAGCAGAUUGCUUGAAUUGCCCCAGUCUCUAAGAUUAGAGGGAAUUCCAUUCCUGCAUAUUCGAUUGCCCUGCAAGGCCACCUGGACAGGUGGAAGCCUCCCUGCGCACUCAAGACCUUCAUUCCUAAAACCAAUGCUAGCCUACGGACACAGUAAUUAUACUGCAGUGCAGAUGUGCCUUCAGUCCAGUAUCUUCUAAACUAACAUCCCAGCCCAAUCCCCCCUUGUCCUAUGGAUCCCUUUCCCUCCCCUUCUGCUUCCCGGAAAAGUCUCUCUUUCUCCUUAAGCUUGACAGCUGUCAGUAAGACAGCGUAUCUGCUUCAGUCCGUCUUUCCCUGCCCCUCCUCUCUCUCUCUCUCUCUCUCUCUCUCUCUCUCUCUCUCUCUCUCUCUCUCUCUCUCUGCUGUCAGUCUGUUCACUCUGGACUGCUGGCCUGAAGCCAGAAUGAGCAUCUCCUCCCUCCUCUGUGUUUCCUUCUCCUCCAUUUCCCACCCCCCUCCUCUUUCUCACACCUGGAUUUUGCCCUCUUCUCUCUCCCCUCCCUCUCUUUGCUUAAAACUGAAACUGUUUAAUGUUGUGUCUUAGCUAAGGAACAGCAGCAACAUAUCACACACACACACACACACACACACACACACGGUUCACUGCUAGUGAGAGAGAAAAUGCUUUCUACUGCUAUUCAUUUCUAGUGAGGGGAAAUGAUUUUUAACUGUUGCUGAAGACAAUACACUAUGUUGGGGAGGAAAACAAAUUGAUUGAUUUUGCUUGCGUGCUUAAU